rnacentral:lncRNA from 1 species
AAGGAUAUAUGGUGAAGGCAAAGAAGACAACAUUGGACGUAUUGGUUGAUGCAUCACAUGUUGAAGGAACAAAGGAACAACAAGUGUUAACUCAUUUGAAUAUUUGAAUGUUAGGAUUGAACUUAUUUGGUAAUGGAUCAACAAAUGUUAACUCAUUGUAAUUAUAGUUAUUGUUAGGAUUUAACUUAUUUUGUAAUGGAUGUAGUAGAAUUGAUUGAAUUGUAUUUGUGUUGUAAUGAAUAUUGAAAUUUUAAU